rnacentral:rRNA from 1 species
CCUACGGGAGGCUGCAGUGAGGAAUAUUGGUCAAUGGACGAGAGUCUGAACCAGCCAAGUAGCGUGAAGGAUGACUGCCCUAUGGGUUGUAAACUUCUUUUAUAUGGGAAUAAAAUGUUCCACGUGUGGGAUUUUGUAUGUACCAUAUGAAUAAGGAUCGGCUAACUCCGUGCCAGCAGCCGCGGUAAUACGGAGGGUCCGAGCGUUAUCCGGAUUUAUUGGGUUUAAAGGGAGCGUAGGUGGAUUGUUAAGUCAGUUGUGAAAGUGUGCGGCUCAACCGUAAAAUUGCAGUUGAAACUGGCAGUCUUGAGUACAGUAGAGGUGGGCGGAAUUCGUGGUGUAGCGGUGAAAUGCUUAGAUAUCACGAAGAACUCCGAUUGCGAAGGCAGUUCACUGGACUGCAACUGACACUGAGGCUCGAAAGUGUGGGUAUCAAACAGGAUUAGAUACCCGAGUAGUC